GUGGCGAGUGGCGAACGGGUGAGUAAUACAUCGGAACGUGCCUAGUAUGGGGGAUAACUACUCGAAAGAGUAGCUAAUACCGCAUGAUAUCUACGGAUGAAAGCAGGGGACCUUCGGGCCUUGUGCUACUAGAGCGGCUGAUGGCAGAUUAGGUAGUUGGUGGGGUAAAGGCUUACCAAGCCCGUGAUCUGUAGCUGGUCUGAGAGGACGACCAGCCACACUGGGACUGAGACACGGCCCAG
rnacentral:rRNA from 1 species